rnacentral:rRNA from 1 species
GAUGAACGCUAGCUACAGGCUUAACACAUGCAAGUCGAGGGGUAACAAGAGAAAAGCUUGCUUUUCUUGUUGACGACCGGCGCACGGGUGAGUAACGCGUAUCCAACCUGCCUAUAACUAGGGAAUAACCUUGCGAAAGUAAGACUAAAACCCUAUGAUUUCCUUUGAUGACAUCAGAUUAGGAAUAAAGAUUUAUCGGUUACAGAUGGGGAAGCGUCUGAUUAGCUUGUUGGCGGGGUAACGGCCCACCAAGGCAACGAUCAGUAGGGGUUCUGAGAGGAAGGUCCCCCACAUUGGAACUGAGACACGGUCCAAACUCCUACGGGAGGCAGCAGUGAGGAAUAUUGGUCAAUGGGCGAAAGCCGGAACCAGCCAAGUAGCGUGCAGGAUGACGGCCCUAUGGGUUGUAAACUGCUUUUAUACAGGAAUAAAGUUAGCCACGUGUGGUUAUUUGUAGGUACUGUAUGAAUAUGGACCGGCUAAUUCCGUGCCAGCCGCCGCAGUAA